UGGGGAAUUUUGGACAAUGGGGGCAACCCUGAUCCAGCCAUGCCGCGUGCGGGAAGAAGGCCUUCGGGUUGUAAACCGCUUUUGUCGGGGAAGAAACGGUCUGCGCUAAUACCGCGGGCUAAUGACGGUACCCGAAGAAUAAGCACCGGCUAACUACGUGCCAGCAGCCGCGGUAAUACGUAGGGUGCAAGCGUUAAUCGGAAUUACUGGGCGUAAAGCGUGCGCAGGCGGCUUUGCAAGACAGAUGUGA
rnacentral:rRNA from 1 species